CAUAAGCAGUGACAGGCACAGUCGUCCUAGCCGGAAACGGUUAGGAGUAUCACCGGGUGAAUUGCUGGAAACCCCUUAGAGCCUUUGACGCCACAACGUAGCUGGAAACGGCAAGCGUGAUGGCUGGAAAAGCCAAAGGAUUGGGCAACCAGCAGCCAAGCUCCUGUCCCGAAAGGGUGGAGAAGGUUCAACGACUAGGACAUACCGCCUAAGGCCAGAAGCUAUGGCGAUGAAGUCCGUAGGGUGAACAGGAUUUCUCCAUCGUCCUGUAUCAUUCGAAGCGCCCGGCCCUUCACUAGCGGAUAAGCUAGCAGGUGAAGAUAUAGUCUGGUCCCAUCACGAAAGUGAGGG
rnacentral:ncRNA from 1 species